rnacentral:rRNA from 1 species
UACGUAGGGUGCAAGCGUUGUCCGGAAUUAUUGGGCGUAAAGAGCUCGUAGGCGGUCUGUCGCGUCGGAUGUGAAAAUCCAGGGCUCAACCCUGGACCUGCAUUCGAUACGGGCAGACUAGAGUUCGGUAGGGGAGACUGGAAUUCCUGGUGUAGCGGUGAAAUGCGCAGAUAUCAGGAGGAACACCGGUGGCGAAGGCGGCAUCCUGGACCGGUAUUGACGCUGAGGAGCGAAAGCCAGGGGAGCAAACGGG